GAACGGCUAACCGCUGGAUUAGCGGAUGUCCGCUGUGUGGGUCUGAUGUGCUUUUGGCAGGAUCUUCCUAACAGUCUGCUCCUGAAAGUAUGGGAUGUACAUGAUUACCACUCUGCUGCUCUGUGCCAAGUCACUAGACCCUGGGACACAGUCCCUGUUCCUCAAGGAGCUCACAGUGUGGUGGGACAAGAAAGGUCAACUGUGAAGAGCUGGUCAAGUUCAAAGAAGCUUCCAAACCUUCCUCCAGCAAAUGACCAUCAGAGCAGAAAGGGCCUUCCCAUGGAGUUCCAACGUAAGUACCAGAUUCUAUGCCUGAUUUCAAUGUGUGUCAAGAUCUAAAGUAUCUUCAGCAAGAAGAACCUGCUAUGACUUCUCUGACACUUCUGUGAUCAACCAACAGCAUUUAUAUGGUGCACUAAGAAAAGACAGGCUCACAAAGCCCCAUCUGUAAAGAUGGUUAGUGACUAUACAAAGGUAUUGGUUAAUUAAGUGUUGCCUUUCCAUUCCAUGGAAUUUUGUGUCUAUCCACCAACAAAUAUCAUAAAGCAAAAUAUUUUACUAAUAGGGAAAAAUGUUCACCAUACAUGAAGUGAAAAAAGCAACUGAGGAAAAAUUCUACAAUAUCACCCCAAAUAUAUAUACAUAUAUUUAUAUAUAUACACACAGACUCACAAAAUACACAUUCACACAUACUGUCUUUUAAGUGGGCAGAAGGAUUACAGGCAUAUUUUUCUUCUUUGACUUUUCUGUGUUUUCCAAAUUAUAGCGCAAACUCUGCAAUCAAGAUAAAAAAAGUUGUAGGUAUUAACAAGGUAAACAUGCCACAAAGAUGUAACAUGGUGGUAUCAUUCCCUGAAGAAUGAUCUCUGUGGGGUAUAAGUAAUCCACAAAUGCUAAUCCCUCCUAUUUAAAGCUUGCAGUUUUCAACAAAUAAGUUCACAAAUUCCCAUCAAUAGCUGGCUACCUUUUUCUUCAAAAUAUGCAAAGAACAUAUAAUCUCCUCUAAAAAAAUUCACUUCAAGAAACCAAAAUUACACCAGCACUCCUACCUAAACAUCUGUAUUCAAAGUUAUAUGGUUAGUGGCUCAGGAAGCUGCAGUCUCUCAAAGCAGGUUUAUCUUUUCUAUGUGGAGUUCUUAUUUGGUUGCUUUUUGCAGACCUUUUAUCAGGAAGUGACAUCCCCUUCCAGAGAGAACUUGACCUCAAAGUGAUAUUUAAUACUUUUUCAUGCAAUUGUAAAUGGGAUUGUUUUCCUGAUUUCUCUUUUUGCUAGUUCAUUAUUUGCAUGCAGAAAGGCAACAGACAUCUGUAUAUUGUGUAGCCUGCCACUUUGUUGUAUUUAUUGUUUCUAAUAGUAUUUUACUAGAGUCUUUAGAAUUUUCUUUGUGUAUUAA